rnacentral:lncRNA from 1 species
UAGAACUGUUACUUUUACUUCUUUCUUCAUUAUCUAACGCAUUAGAAGUUGUGAAAGAAAUUCUGUGUUUAGUAAUUAUUCUGUUCAUUUUCUUAGGAAAGAUUAUGCAUUUUGAAUUACAUAUGCACUGGAUAAAACCAAGAAAUAUUCUCCAGAAUAUUCAGAGAGAGCCAGGAGACUGUCCUCUUCAGCUAGGGUAGACUUAUACUUCUUUUCAUUUUUUUGUUUUCUAGUACUGUGAAUCUUGACUUCCUGGCCACUCAACACUUGUGUUUCAAAACCUCCUUCUUCAUGAACAGCGGAUGGAGAAGCCCUGCUUAUACUCACAGAGACAUGGGUUUGCCUGUUCUGUAGUCACCUCUUCCAAAUGGUCUGCAUGCAAUAUGAACAUGAAUUGGGAAAAUCCCUAUACAUGCAAAAUAAGCAUGGAUCAUGAAAUAUCUGGAAAAUAAAUGACUGCAACUUCAUAAAAAGAUUAGGUAUGAGGCAAGAUUUCUUGACUUGCUUCAGGGGAGAAAAGUUGAACCAACAACAGAAAAAUGAAGGAAAUGAAUGGCAGAUUGAUAAGGACAUUGCAACUGACUUCUGACUAAAGCAAUUUAGCCCAGUAAUUUCUUAGCUCUGAAGAGUAUAGUAAGAGAAAACAAUGGCAAGCAACCACAAGGAUAAUUGAAAAAUAAGGCUGAUAAGUGUUUGUGUGACUUUGAAAUAUAAGAGAUGAUGACUUUUUUGCUCUUUCUCUCUUGUUAAAUAUCUUGGCUAAGAAAAUUUCAGGACCUUAUUCUUUCUCUUUCCACUCUCAAUCUAUUCUAUACAUGUUCAUUUUGGGGAAAUUUUAGGGAUUAUUCCUCCAGUGUGUUCCUAACUGGUACAGAUGGAUGCAAAUUCAGCUUUUCAGGCAGACUUUCUUGCUUGGGUGAAUAAGCCUGUAGAUAAUCUUUAUGGUGGUCUUCUACCAUCCUCUCCCAGAGGAGAUCAGUAGAGGUGAGAAUCACUUUCAGGCAGUAGGGGGAGCACAGAAGCAUUCCAGUCGGCAUGAAAAUGAUACCCUGAAGGCUCCAGACCUCCAGACUCCUGCUGGAGUAUGAGAGAGUAGAUAUGUGGCUUUGAUUUGUGUUUGAACUUGUGCUAUCUCCUACAUGUUCUCCAAGCCACAAGACCAUGCAGUAGUCAUAUUACACCAAACUGUAGCCCUUUGUACUGUGGAAGAUGGACAAAGGUUGUAUUAGUUGUUGGAAU